UACAAAACUACCGUUAGUUAUUCGAGAAAUAAACAUUGCAAAGGGUUGUUGUCGUUUUCAACCUUGACGCUAUUUGCUCGUGCGAUUUAGAAAACAUUUAAAAUAGUAUUGAAAAUGUUUGAAGAAAUUUUUAGUGCUUCUAACGGUAAAUUGCAUUUAAAAUGUUUCAGUUAAGGGUGGUUUGUCGUGUGUAACGGGACAUGGAUUUGAACACACGGAUGGAUGUUUAAGGAAUGUGAAUUAAAAUCAUAAUAAAUAUAAAGAAAUUGAUAAAUAUUAUUCGGUGUAAUGAAGUGAAUUAUAUGUGAAGGAUAUAAUAAAUAAUACGGUAUAAUGAAAAUAUAAUUAGUAUAAUUAAUUAAAUUAUAAUUAUAAAUAAAAUAUUUACCUUAAAGGCCAAAAUACUGUUUUCGAAUUUAUGAAAUUCAAACAAGUUUUGAAAUCAAAUAUCUGUAAAAUAUGGCCAAUAUUUAGUAUAAAUUAACUAAAUGUCCUUCUGUAGUUUGGCAAGUGUUUGUGUUUAUAUAAAAAUUAAUUAAAAUUCUAGUAUAAAACAUGUCAUUUUGAAAUAAAACUUAAGUAAGUUUGAAAAAAAAAAAAAAAAAAUAAAAUAAAAAAGAAAAUCAAUUGUAUUCUUAAUAGUGUUACGCAAAUCUAGUUCUUCCUACCGUUUCUUACAAUAUAUUGUAAUACUAAACAAAAAGAACGUAUCGUUACUUUCUUCUUUUUGUUUGCAAAAAAUACAACACGUGUAUAGAACAUGCUGGCUGUUACGAAUAUAAAAAUGCGCAAAUAAAAUCUAACUUCACAGGUUCCAAGAAGGAAAAUUGUAUGGUUUUGUUUAUUGCUAACAGGCAUAAAUCUUAAAACAUAAUCAUCGCAGGUUGUGCGUAUCAAGUGUAUCUUUCAAAUUACUUUUAUAUAAAAUCAUAAUAAAACAAUAAUAAGGUAGAAUCAGUAGAAAAGUACGUUCUCAAUUUUACAUGUCUUGAAUUGUCACAAAAAAGAAAAUUAAAAAAUAUAAAGAAAAACAUCAAAUAAAAAUUAUUGAAAAAUUUUUGUUAAGAAAAUAAAAUUGAAUAAUUUGAAUCAAAAAGAUUGUAAAACCAAUAAAAAUCAAAAACAGGAUACAGAAGUGUGGAAUGCUGUUUGCGUGUGCCGUUCAAGAAUCAUUUCAUGAUAUUUUUCGUGGUUUUCAUUUGAAGAUUUUUAAGUUUUUCUCUUUAUAGUUCUUUUUUGUUUGACUUAACAAGGCAGAGAAUUGACAACUCUCCCUACUGAUUCUACCUUUCUAUGGUUGUAUCAUGAUAUAAAAUCAACAAACUAAAUUUUCCAAACAAAUCGAAAAAUAAACAAAAAGAAUAGAACGAAAAAAAACAUCUAACGAUCCAUGAGAACAUAAAAAGCACUCUCACCCCCUGCUGUCACUGUUCUAAGUUUAUAGCCCAAGGACGAAAUGUUAAAAUGACACUAAGUGCACAGUCAUUGUGGUGAGUGUACAUAUAGAGGACUAAGAAAAUAGCAAUAAUAACAGCAACAACAAAACUAAGAAAGAACAAAAAAAAUUUAUAUAAAUCGAAGACAACAAGAGAAAGUGUAACAAAAGAAUAAAAAAAAGUUGUGUUUAAAAAAAUGUUUUAAAAAAAAGGUUUCUAUGGAUACUUGAAAAACAAAAAGAAGAAGAAGAAAAAAAAAAAGAAUGUAAUUUUCCAUAAAGAAAAAUAAACCUUAAACCAAACAAACGUUUUUGGCACUUUCGAAAGAGUAUUAUUGUAUGUGAUGUAAGAUUUUGAAUUGAGAUUUUUUCAUUUCCUACCCCCCUUUGCCUUCCUAAAAAAAAAAAACAAAACGAAAAAAACAAUAGAAAAGGAAGUUAAAGAACAGCUAGAAAAACUGUUUAUCAAAUAAAUUGUGUGUUUAUGUGUUGAUGAUGUUGAAGAAGAAGACGACGCCAACUUCCGGUUAGGGAAAUUUGAAUCAUUUAACUAUUUUUCUAGAUACUCUAAAAUUGUUUACAAGUAUGAGUAUGUGUAUGUGUGAACUAGUACUACUACUAAUACAAACAACUAAAUAAAAAAAUACACAAACACAUUGUUAAACAUAUUCUUGUGAUAUUGUUAUAUUCAUUUCAUCUCUCUUCUCUAUCACUCUAUCUGUUUCACAUCCUUUUGCCAAGUUGUGGUUUGUGCUUUAUCAUCAUAAACUAGAUUUGCAACUACAAAAACAUCAGCAGCAACUAUAUAACCAACACCUCUCUCACCUACCGUAACAUCGACGUCAUUAUCAUCAUCAUCAGUAGCAGCAGCAGUAGCAACAACAAAAAAAUUUUAGUUUGUACAAGAAGGAAAAAUCAAGUCUUAAAAUUGUAUCAUCGUAUAAAUCACAAUGGCAAGGUAAGAAAUGUCGAUAUUGCUUUUUGACUUGUAAGUAUGUAAUCAAAUAGACGUGGUUAUCGAUUGUACAGUAUUGUGUGAUAACUAUUUUUAUGAUAACAUUAAAUUUUUUAUUCAUUUGACGGACGUUAUGAGAAAACCAAAAUUAAUUCAAUUCGAAAUUAACUGUUCGAAACUGAAGCAACUCUUAGUAUUUUGUAGUUUAUAUCAGAAAGUAGCUUAGAUUUUGUGCAAUAUUGUAUAUGUAUUUUUGGCCGCUAACUAACUGG